AUGACUGAAUUUGCGGGAGAAAUCAAGAAACUCUAUAGAGACCUGGAGUAUUUUAGACCAUUUAAGGCACAUGAUCCCAGGGACGUACCCCUCCUUCGAGAGUGGUUUGAACCAUUGUUGGUCCAGACUUUUGUUCAUGGUCCGAACUCAGAGUUCAAUCUCCGUUCCCAACUCAUACAAGCCACAGCAGAUUGGCCUACAUUGGAUCAAGCCAUCUCAAGUAUACUUGAGGAAGAAACACGGCUGGCCAAUCAGAUCACAACUUCACAAACAAAUGUUGAUAGCAGAGCUGCACUAUCUUCAGUUAAGCAAAUUCAGUCUCCUGGUACUUCCAAAAAUGAGCAAGCAAAUGCUACUAGAUUCGACUUGACGAGAAAGCCUAAGAUGGUGUGUGACCACUGUAAAAAAACCAGGCCAUUUGAAGAAGAGUUGUUUUGA
rnacentral:rRNA from 1 species